rnacentral:lncRNA from 1 species
GUAGGUUUCAGCAGUUUGUAGAGGCAGCUUCAUCACUCGUACCAGAGGGGUGCCUUGCUCUUCUGGAGGCUCUCUGCAGACACUGGGAUGGCUGCUGCAGGGCAUCGCGAACACAAGAACGUGUUUGUUGCACAGUGGCUUGUCAGAUCAUUGAAAUCUACUAUAGUUCAUUUCUGUUUAAGGAUGCUGUAAUGGGGAGCAUGCUAGCAAUAUGGUUUGGUACCUGUGUUACACAAACUACUUUGUAAGGCUUAGAGAUGCACACCAAGUGGGCUGUGUGUCCUUUUACCUGUGCAUGUCAGUUUUCAGAGGGUAAAGAAUAGAAUCUGUUACUCUCUGAAACGUACAGUGAACGUUUUACUUCACUAGAGGACUCCAUAGAGAAAAUUAGAUGUGGUGCUGAGUAGAAAUUGUAUUUCCUUGGCUGAUUGGUACAGUGAAACUUCGCAGUGAAGAUCACUAAGCAAGCUGGAUAGCGAAACUCCAGUAAAGCUCUAACUGAUUCUGAUGGUCUUCUGUCUAGCAGCGUUGUCACUUGUUUCAGAUCAUCUGCUACUUCCUUAAUAAAUAUUUCCAAGAUUCAGGUUAAAAUAAUUAGAAUAUAUUUAAAGUUCAAGAAAGAAUGCGGUGUUCAACUAUAAAUUUUGAUGCUCCACGAUAUACCAACUAGUAGAAUCACAUAAUAAAAAUCUGGUAUGGAAAUGUGUAUAAUCGAAACCAUGCUGUUGUAAUGCCGCUCUGUGUCAAGUGUUCCUUCUCCCUGACCUCAUUAGGUGUGCCUAGUCAUUAGAUACAGUGUUACUAAAGAGUUUUAACUUAAAAGCGGCUUUGAUUAAUGAUUGAUUGCACUGAAGUUUAACUGUGUAGGAUUAACCAGAUUUAAAAAUGGCAAAAUGCCAUAGUAGCAUUAAUGCCAGACUUUAACAAGAAGCAGAAGUAAACUCCAAGGACCCUUAUGAUUUUCAUAUGGACUAAACUCAUGUUCUCAUUAACUUAAUGUCCUGUCCUGUUCUGAAAGCUAAUGUUCUAAUAAUUCCUAGAGAAUAGUAGCUUAGGCAGCACAUUACAAAUCUGUAAUCCUCAUAUGUUUAAUGAAUCAUACAUUUUGAUAAUUUUAAUAUUAGGCUCAUUCAACCACGUUCUGUCACUGUAGUUGGAAAGUAUGUUUUCACAUUUUUGUGUUGUCUGCCAUUUGAAUUUUGUUUUAAUAUCUUCUUAUUUCAGUUUUCCUGAAGGUUUAGAGUUGGCAUCGCUACAGCCUAAUAUCCUUAUUUUUUUCUCAAUUGAUCACAUAUUUCUUUAUAUCAUACUGCCAAGAAAAUGCCACCAGUCCCACUUAAAGCACUAUUCAGUCACCUGAAAUCCUACUAAAGUACAUAGGAUUUAAAUAUAAUGUAAUAAAAUAAAAGAUCAUGUAACGCUGAAUUGGGUCCGUUCUGUCUAGCAUUUUCUCCAGUCCAUGGGAUCUUUGCUGAGUUAAUCAAAAUUCAUUGAUUUAUUAUUGGAGCUGAACAGGAAGAAAGUUUGUCAUUUCAGGAAUCUGUUAAUUCUUUUUGCUGCAUUGAUCCUGAUUUGAUGAUUUGGGUUAUUUUUCAGUGAGCUUCUAGUCACAAGAAGCGUGUAAUGAAACUUGUGUUUCAGCGUAGUAACGCACUGUGAGAAUUAGGCACUGUGUGUUAAUAAUUAAUAAUAGCAGUUAUUUACAGAGGCAGCACUCUUUCUGCCAAAGCAUCCAGCCAAAUGCUUGGGCUGCAAUGCCUAAUUUCUCAUUGAAAUCCGGGAUAUAUUAGACUUGACUUAAAUAGGAUUACUCACUCAAGCAAAUUUACGCAAGUGUAUAAGGCAUGUAUCCAGCUUGUAGUGAGUUAGGAGUCUACCUACUUGUUUGGCUCUGGGCCCUAGGCACUUGCAUAACGUUCCUUGCAUGAAUUAUCCCAUUAAACCAAGACCCGCGUAAACACUGUUACUCAUACCAGCAACUCUGUGUGUGUGGACAAGUGCUGACAGUCCAGGAUCUUGCUUCCUCUUGUACCAUAUCAGAAGGUUCUGUUUUCACUAAUGAUCAGAGUGUAUUAACUAAACUUUAUAUUUGCAGUCCAUAUUGGUAAUUCCCGCGCCACUGAGGUUUUUGACUGCAUUCUAAUACUGCCUUUGUAUUUUUUGCUUCAUUGACUCAGUGAUAUUUUUUUCUUUCUUUUUUUUUUUUUAGGAAGAAGGGCAACAAAAACAAAGGAGAAGAAAAAGAAGAAAAAGAAUUUGAUGGAGAGGGCUCAGAAGCAGCACAGCAUCUUUUUAGCUACAGACAAAACAAGCCAGUAAAGACUUGAUUUAUUUUUUUUAAUAUAUUUUUGCAAAGUGCACAAAAGCUGCUAUAUGCUCCUGCCCAUGGAUGCACUACGAUUCAGCUGCUUUAACAGUAUUGGUGGCAAAUAACUUGUGAAAAGAAGCCCACAAGCUUGUUUGUUUUAUUUAUAUAUUUUUUUUAUUUUAUUUUUUCCUCUUAUUUUGGAAGUGGUGCUGAAGUGUGUCAAAGAUUUUGUACUGAGUGUUUGGUCAACGUGUUGACACUGAAUGGAAGCAGGAAAGAAACCUAUGUAUCACCAUUAGGCGGACUUGUGCAUAUUUAAAUAUAAAAAGGAAGUCUUGGAGGUGUAGGUACUAUUGCAUUUAUGGCCUUUGUCUCCUAUAUGUGUACAUUUCAAGAGUAAAUGGAUAUGACUCACAUACUUAGCGUUAAUAUGCAUUGUUCUCAACUCCUACUGCGUUGAAACUGUUGUACGAGUAUAAUAAAACUGCUUUAUGACAAUAUACCACAAGAAUCACUGCUUAGAGCUACAAGUGUGCAACAGACUUUAUGUGUACAUAUUACUCUGUCUACGUAUAAAUGAACAUAUUUACUGUACAUCUAUGCAUUUUUAUGUAUAAUACUUUAUACAUGUUUAAAGUUAUGUCCUGUUGGUUCUAGUAAUAUACUUUAAAGUAAUCCAGUAAAUGUUUACUUUUUACUAUGUUUUAAGGAUCUUUUCAUGUUUCUCAAUAGUUACAAACUGGAUUUUUUUUCUUGUUUGUAAAGCACAUUCAGAUGCUAGACUACCUUGUACUGACCCUCACAAUGGAGUGUCAGCUCUGAAGUAUACUUGCCAGACUGGUAAAAUGCAAUUCUUUUCUGCUCUUCUUUACUCCUAUCUCAGCCCUAGUGUAUUUUGUCUCAGAAAAAGUAGGGUAACUUUUAAAGGUGAGGCAUGAUGAUAGAUGUUUUGAGCGUCAGGAAAGAAAUUUUACAGAAAGUUCUUGGUAUCUAAGAUUGUAUAUGUAGUUUUUCAAAUGUAAUGCACAGUGUUUUAUUUCUGUUAGUCCUGAUCCAGUCAGAUACAGCAACUGAAUACCUGAAUAGGGAGAAACAAAAGAAAAAGCAGUGUGUAAUCAGUCAUUCAGCAGUAUAGUGAGCACCAGUCAGUUUCCCAGUAUUGCCAGUUACUUGUUGAAGUUUAGCAAACUUAACCUGCAUCUGGGUUGGGGGAAGGUGUCUUUUUAAGUAGCUAAAAUGGCUCAGGAUGUGUAAUUUGGUAUCAUUGCAUUAUCAGGCUUUUAUUCAAGGAGACUUUUGAAUAUCUUCUUGGAAAAGCCCACAACUACAAUGCCUGCCACUUAUGCUGUCACUUACAGAAGUUAUAGUUCUAGGACUAAAACUUGCAUCACUACCUGCUCAAAGGUGUUUUGUUAAAAAUUGUUUAUACUUAAAUUUUGACAGGUCUGGCUAAGAAGUUAAUUCUAUCAAAAGGAUCUUUUCUAAAUCUAGGACUCUGUGAAUGUUUACAAGGUCUGCUUCUAUACUCACUUCUGAGCUAGAAUAAUACAAGCCCCACUGCUAUGGGCUCCACCAAAAGCCCUCUCUCUAUAUUUUCCACUGUGGCAGUUAGCUAACUGCUUGAGGAGUACAUCUCUCCCAGGCACGGGUAUUUGGCUUUAUUUACACAAAAGUGAUUAUCUGGAGCCCAUCUUCCAAGGGUAGACACUUAGCUUAGUUAGUAUUUGAGUGGUUUUCCUCAUCUCUUUUGUCCUUCUGAAAUAGUUUGUAAGUGGGGUCUCUGCAAUCACUUGCAGAGAACUGGGGAGUGGAGAGGAAGAAGGCUGCUUAAAUGUUCUCUCACUGUGAUCCUAGUCAAUAAAGCUUCUGUAUGACCUGGUUUAAACUGUACUUGUGUUACCAGGCACAUGGAGUCCUGAUGUUCUCAAACAAAGGAAAAGACAA